rnacentral:rRNA from 1 species
AUUGAACGCUGGCGGCAUGCCUUACACAUGCAAGUCGAACGGCAGCACGGGGCAACCUGGUGGCGAGUGGCGAACGGGUGAGUAAUGCAUCGGAACGUACCUUUCAGUGGGGGAUAACGUAGCGAAAGUUACGCUAAUACCGCAUAUUCUGUGAGCAGGAAAGCAGGGGAUCGCAAGACCUUGCGCUGAUUGAGCGGCCGAUGUCAGAUUAGCUAGUUGGUGAGGUAAAGGCUCACCAAGGCGACGAUCUGUAGCGGGUCUGAGAGGAUGAUCCGCCACACUGGAACUGAGACACGGUCCAGACUCCUACGGGAGGCAGCAGUGGGGAAUUUUGGACAAGGGGGGCAACCCUGAUCCAGCCAUGCCGCGUGAGUGAAGAAGGCCUUCGGGUUGUAAAGCCCUUUCGGCCGGGAAGAAAUCGCACGGGCUAAUACCCUGUGUGGAUGACGGUACCGGAAUAAGAAGCACCGGCUAACUACGUGCCAGCAGCCGCCGUAAAAC